rnacentral:rRNA from 1 species
AUUGAACGCUGGCGGCAGGCCUAACACAUGCAAGUCGAACGGUAACAGGAAGAAGCUUGCUUCUUUGCUGACGAGUGGCGGACGGGUGAGUAAUGUCUGGGAAACUGCCCGAUGGAGGGGGAUAACUACUGGAAACGGUAGCUAAUACCGCAUAACGUCGCAAGACCAAGAGGGGGACCUUCGGGCCUCUUGCCAUCGGAUGUGCCCAGAUGGGAUUAGCUAGUAGGUGGGGUAACGGCUCACCUAGGCGACGAUCCCUAGCUGGUCUGAGAGGAUGACCAGCCACACUGGAACUGAGACACGGUCCAGACUCCUACGGGAGGCAGCAGUGGGGAAUAUUGCACAAAGGGCGCAAGCCUGAUGCAGCCAUGCCGCGUGUAUGAAGAAGGCCUUCGGGUUGUAAAGUACUUUCAGCGGGGAGGAAGGGAGUAAAGUUAAUACCUUUGCUCAUUGACGUUACCCGCAGAAGAAGCACCGGCUAACUCCGUG